UGUACUAGUGAUAUAUUAAAGAAGCAAAGUUGGUUAUAUAAAUUCCUGGUGAUAGUUUGUUCAAUAUUCUUUGCUUACAUCUCACUUUUGGAAUCUUUAUCCUCUGAGUAUAUAAGAAUAACAAAAUCACUCUGAUUUUUAUUUUUUGGUAGAUUCCCGAGAGCUUUUGAUUAGCUUAAAGUUUUCAGAGAAAGUUUUUCCUCUCUUGAUGACCACUGAGAAUGAGGGUUGUUGAGAUGGGAUAUGCAUCUCCCUAGCAAUUCCCAGUUUAUUAGUUAUAGCAAACAUAUUAGAAGACAGUUUCCUGAUUUCAAUAUAUUCUUCUUUUUGAAGAGCUAUGUUAGAAUUCUCAGGACAAAGAAGAAGCAGCUUCAUAGUGUUUUGACAUUUGUUCAAAGACAAAUCUUCAUUUUGACUAUGGGAUCCAUGAGGAGCGAAGAGUCAGAAGAAACCAUAUGUGAAUUACCAAUCAAAGAUAAUUCUUAAAAUCACUAUUUAAGAGCUGAAAUUAAAACUAAGGCUCACAGUAAGUAAAAGGAUUAAGUAUUAAUUGUCAGAUCAAAAUUAAGUUCAAAACUGUUUCAUCAAACUUGUCCAGAAGAGUGAAAAGAUGACAUAUAAAUAUCCAAAAGUAAUCCAGUUGCAUCCAUGUAAAAUAAAUGACACUAGGCACAAACACUAAUGAAUACUCAAACACAUCCAAACUUUAGGAUGGCAUAAAUAGUUUUGAGAUGCAUUCAUUGGAAUGAGUGAGAGAGAUGAAAUCCAAAAAACUGUUGGAGUGGACAGAAGGGCAAGAGUAUCCAGCUGAUUCAAUCCAAAUGCAUUCAAUUGCUUUAUAGCAGUCAUUCCUUUCCUGAUAAACUGCAGCUAAAUCUAGUUUGCACAUGGAUAAGUGACAUUGGGUCUGGAGUUACAAUACACCAAUGACAAUCCAGUUAUAAAGGAACAG
rnacentral:lncRNA from 1 species